rnacentral:miRNA from 1 species
GGGUUUUCUCAAUCGGUAACACUCAAAAGAUGGCGGCACUUUUUUCACCAGAGAGCAGAAAGUGCCCCCACAGUUUGAGUGCCACAGGCUGAGGGGAUGCGGCAAGGCGGCGA